rnacentral:rRNA from 1 species
AUACGUAGGUGGCAAGCGUUGUCCGGAUUUACUGGGCGUAAAGGAUGCGUAGGCGGAUAUUUAAGUCAGAUGUGAAAUACCCGGGCUCAACUUGGGUGCUGCAUUUGAAACUGGAUAUCUAGAGUGCGGGAGAGGUAAGUGGAAUUCCUAGUGUAGCGGUGAAAUGCGUAGAGAUUAGGAAGAACACCAGUGGCGAAGGCGACUUACUGGACCGUAACUGACGCUGAGGCAUGAAAGCGUGGGGAGC